AGCAGCCGCGGUAAUUCCAGCUCCAAUAGCGUAUAUUAAAGUUGUUGCAGUUAAAAAGCUCGUAGUUGAAUUUCGGGACCAAUAUGUCGGUCGUGCUUCGGUACGUACUUGCAUUAUUGGUUUCUCCCUUCUGAAGAACCAUGAUGUCAUUAAUUUGGUGUCUUGGGGAAUCAGGACUGUUACUUUGAAAAAAUUAGAGUGUUUAAAGCAGGCUCACGCUUGAAUACAUUAGCAUGGAAUAAUGAAAUAGGACGUUUGAUUCUAUUUUGUUGGUUUUCUAGGAUCGACGUAAUGAUUAAUAGGGAUAGUUGGGGGCAUUAGUAUUCAAUUGUCAGAGGUGAAAUUCUUGGAUUUAUUGUAAGACUAACUACUGCGAAAGCAUUUGCCAAGGAUGUUUUCAUUAAUCAAGAACGAAAGUUAGGGGAUCGAAGACGAUCAGAUACCGUCGUAGUCUUAACCAUAAACUAUAGCCGACUAGGGAUCGGAUGAUGUUAUUUUUGAUGACUCAUUCGGCGCCUUA
rnacentral:rRNA from 1 species